rnacentral:rRNA from 1 species
CAAGGAUUCCCCUAGUAACUGCGAGUGAAGCGGGAAAAGCUCAAAUUUAAAAUCUGGCAGCCUUCGGUUGUCCGAGUUGUAAUCUAGAGAAGUGUUAUCCGCGCUGGACCGUGUACAAGUCUCCUGGAAUGGAGCGUCAUAGAGGGUGAGAAUCCCGUCUUUGACACGGACUGCCAGGGCUUUGUGAUGCGCUCUCAAAGAGUCGAGUUGUUUGGGAAUGCAGCUCAAAAUGGGUGGUAAAUUCCAUCUAAAGCUAAAUAUUGGCGAGAGACCGAUAGCGAACAAGUACCGUGAGGGAAAGAUGAAAAGAACUUUGGAAAGAGAGUUAAACAGUACGUGAAAUUGCUGAAAGGGAAACGCUUGAAGUCAGUCGCGUUGUUUGGGAAUCAACCUUGCUUUUGCUGGGCGUACUUUCCAGAUGACGGGCCAGCAUCAAUUUUGACCGUUGGAUAAAGGCUGGAGGAAUGUGGCAUCUUCGGAUGUGUUAUAGCCUCUGGUUGUAUACAACGGUUGGGAUUGAGGAACUCAGCACGCCGCAAGGCCGGGUACUUGUACCACGUUCGUGCUUAGGAUGCUGGCAUAAUGGCUUUAAUCGACCCGUCUUGAAACACGGACCAAGGAGUCUAACAUGCCUGCGAGUAUUUGGGUGGAAAACCCGAGUGCGUAAUGAAAGUGAAAGUUGAGAUCCCUGUCGCGGGGAGCAUCGACGCCCGGACCAGACCUUUUGUGACGGAUCUGCGGUAAAGCAUGUAUGUUGGGACCCGAAAGAUGGUGAACUAUGCCUGAAUAGGGUGAAGCCAGAGGAAACUCUGGUGGAGGCUCGUAGCGAUUCUGACGUGCAAAUCGAUCGUCAAAUUUGGGUAUAGGGGCGAAAGACUAAUCGAACCAUCUAGUAGCUGGUUCCUGCCGAAGUUUCCCUCAGGAUAGCAGAAACUCAUAUCAGAUUUAUGUGGUAAAGCGAAUGAUUAGAGGCCUUGGGGUUGAAACAACCUUAACCUAUUCUCAAACUUUAAAUAUGUAAGAACAAGCCGUCUCUUGAUUGGACCGCUG